rnacentral:tRNA from 1 species
GGGCUAUUAGCUUAAUUGGUAAAGCAUCUUAUUUGCAAUAAGAAAGAUACAAGUUCAAGUCUUGCAUAGUCCA